GGAAGCCGGUGUAAAUCCGGUGCGGUCGCGCCACUGUAAUCAGCCUGAGAGGGCUGAAAGUCAGAC
rnacentral:ncRNA from 2 species